UCUUAUUCUAUAAUUAAUAUAUAGGGUAAACUUUAAAUGCCACCCGUGUAGUUUCGCACUUUCUCACUUUAUAGUAUCCUGUGAUUUAAAGUGUAUCAUGUUAGUGUCAUGUGAUUUCAUUUUUAUUUUUUCGUCAGUUUUUUCGUUAAUAUUUCGUUAAAUUAUGUACAAAAAACUUCAGAUACCCCACAUAGUUUUAUCGAAUAUUCACUUUAGUAUCCUUUAGUUUUAACUUUGUCAUUUAUUUAACAAAAAAAAUUAGUGGAAUCAAUAAUAAAAAGAUAAAAAUAAAACAACAGAGCACUAAAUUGAUACACUUUAAACUACAUGAUAUUAAAGUGAGAAAGUGUGAAACUACAGGGAUAAUAUUUGAAGUUUUUCUUAAUAUAUAUGAGAUUAUUAUUCUCAAUACGUCGCUUUGACACGUGCUAGGCCUUACUAGCACCUGACGUGAAUUUAGACUGAUACAAGAAAAUUGAAUGGAAUAUAUUUGAAAGUAUGGUUUAAGUGAGACGUGAACCGAAUGAAACUGGUUUGAAACAACUGGAUCAAACCAAUUGAAACAAGGCCGAACGUAUACAUUGUAUGAUCAAUCUUUAAAGUUGUACCCUUUUAGAAAUAGUGUAAUAAGAGAAGAAAUAAUAUAAAUACCUCCUCUUAAAGAGUGCAAUAAGAUGAGAAACAGUAUAAAUAUCUCUCAAAGAGUGCAAUUUUCGUUUAAGUGUAACUUUCAUUUUAAAGAGUGCAGUUUAUAUUUAAAAGAGUGCAACUUACGUCCAUAAUAGUGCAACGUUCUUUUAAAACAGUGCAAUUUAAUCUUAAGAGUGCAAAUUCAUCUUUUUCUUUAUUUUUU
rnacentral:lncRNA from 1 species